GAACUUUCCUUGUCGCCAGAAAAAAUGUUUUCCGACAACCUUGCGGAGCAGUUUUCGUGGAGAGGAACUAACACUAUGCAAUGCAUUCGUGGAUGCCGUAUAACUUUGGCUAUUCGACAUGCUUUUAAGAACAAAUUUGCCCUGGAAGACGAGGAUUUUGAUAAAAUAACUCAAAAGCAUUUCCAGUACGCCCAUGACAGGCUGACAAAAUGUUCCAAAUACGCUUCCAAAAAAACAAAACAUGACAACGAGCAGCUACCACCUUAAACGUAUACUAUUUAUAAAUAAAUAUUAUUAAACUAACACUAUUUACUAAUAAAUUUAUGUAUGCAUUUAUUAAUUUAUUUUUUAUUAUAAGAUAUUUUUACAUAAAAUGUAAUGAAUAAAUAUGAAAUUAAUUGUUAAGUUUUUUAAAGUAA